rnacentral:rRNA from 1 species
CCUACGGGAGGCAGCAGUGGGGAAUAUUGGACAAUGGGGGGAACCCUGAUCCAGCCAUGCCGCGUGUGUGAAGAAGGCCCUCGGGUUGUAAAGCACUUUCAGUGAGGAAGAACGCCUGGUGGUUAAUACCCAUCAGGAAAGACAUCACUCACAGAAGAAGCACCGGCUAACUCCGUGCCAGCAGCCGCGGUAAUACGGAGGGUGCGAGCGUUAAUCGGAAUUACUGGGCGUAAAGCGCGCGUAGGUGGCUUGAUAAGCCGGUUGUGAAAGCCCCGGGCUCAACCUGGGAACGGCAUCCGGAACUGUCAAGCUAGAGUGCAGUAGAGGAAGGUAGAAUUCCCGGUGUAGCGGUGAAAUGCGUAGAGAUCGGGAGGAAUACCAGUGGCGAAGGCGGCCUUCUGGACUGACACUGACACUGAGGUGCGAAAGCGUGGGUAGCAAACAGGAUUAGAUACCCGUGUAGUC